GCUUUCAAGGGAUGAGGGCAUACCACAGUGUUUGGAUUGGAGGGAACAUCCUUGCAUCUCUUGAGUCGUUCCAGCAAGUUGCUAGAUGGGUGUAGAGUCAUAUACUAGAAACCGCCGCGUGGUGUGCGUGGGGGAGAACUUUGCCAGGUGGUCCUUCGGUGUGUGGCCUACUUCAACUGCAAAAUGCACCCACCGGUUGGUCCUAGCAUCUACCCUCGUGUGCACGUGGAUCUGCUACUCUUGUCGGCAUCCCCGGCGGUUGUCGUCAUGGUCACCCCGAUGAAGGUUUCUGGGUGCCAACCGUAGCCUCCCAGUGUGUGCGCAGUUGAAGGCUUUGGUUCGGUGCCCAUGGCAUCAUGCGCAUCCGCCUCCCGUCAUGCAAUAGCAGAGAUAAGCCUCCAUAUGAUUAUCACAGGGCAAGA